AACGAACGCUGGCGGCAUGCCUAACACAUGCAAGUCGAACGAACCCUUCGGGGUUAGUGGCGCACGGGUGCGUAACGCGUGGGAAUCUGCCCUUGGCUUCGGAAUAACAGUUAGAAAUGACUGCUAAUACCGGAUGAUGUCUUCGGACCAAAGAUUUAUCGGCCAGGGAUGAGCCCGCGUAGGAUUAGGUAGUUGGUGAGGUAAAGGCUCACCUAGCCGACGAUCCUUAGCUGGUCUGAGAGGAUGAUCAGCCACACUGGGACUGAGACACGGCCCAGACUCCUACGGGAGGCAGCAGUGGGGAAUAUUGGACAAUGGGCGCAAGCCUGAUCCAGCAAUGCCGCGUGAGUGAUGAAGGCCUUCGGGUCGUAAAGCUCUUUUACCAGGGAUGAUAAUGACAGUACCUGGAGAAUAAGCUCCGGCUAACUCCGUGCCAGCCGCCGCCGUAAUAC
rnacentral:rRNA from 1 species